rnacentral:lncRNA from 1 species
UCAGUGUUCAAAAGAAAAUAACUGUCUGACAAAGUCAACACUAAAAAAACUAAAAGUCUUGAAUCAACUCUGAGAAAAAUCUUAAAUCAAUGAGUUAACUCCAUCUCUAAUCGCUCUCCCAAUCGAAAUCCCGCAUCAUGCUAAUUUUCUGGAUCUGUAAGAAAAACAUAAAACUUAUCAUGAGCUAAAUAGCCCAGUAAGCAGUGUAUACCUUUAACUGAAUAAAU